UAUUAUUUUCAUGGAAGUGAAGGCUGUCAACAGCUACUAGCCAUGACGGCUCUGUUCUGUCUCCCCAGUCAGAGGAGGUAAUGCAUCUGAAUAUGAGUUUUGGGGGACCACAGAAGAGGAGAGAGCUCUUGUACUUGCAUGUUUCCCCACAGGCAUCAGUUUGGCCACUGAGAGAACAGGAUGCUGGACUAGAUGGGCCAUUGGCCUCUGCUUCUUAAUCAUUUAACCUGGAAGGAGAGCAUGACUUCGAUGUCUCCCAGUUCUUCAUACCAACAGGUGGUGCUGAAUUUAUGACUCGCCUCCUGCAUCCCAGACUUCUUCUCCCCCAGCUGUGCACAUGCUCAGCUGCCUCUGCUCAACUAAAACUGGAGCCUGGCCUGCAUCAGGGAGAUUUGCAGGCUCUUCUUCCUUCUCCUCCAGUAUCAACUGAAACAGCAGAAAGGAAUCCUUUCAAUAGCUGGAGCAACAGUCCACACCAUCUUUUUCACUCACCCUCUGCAAGUGAGAAAUGAGGGCUGUGUUUGUUCACACCACACAUUUAAGGUGUGCCCAUUUAUUGCACCCACACCCAAUCUCCAAGUGGUGCGGUAUUCCCAGGGGUUCCAUGCGCCUACCGAGGGCUCGGUUUCCUCAGAAUGAGGGAUAGCUGAGACAGUGGUAUCUUGAUAAUAAAUGGUUUAUUUACACAUCUAUGCAACCUGAGCUCCGAUGGAGGGGUUCACAGCAUUAAUGCCCCCCCCAAAGGGCCUUGCUUCUCCAACCCGCCAUAGCAGCUAUUUUGAGGCGGGCACCCCCAGCGCUCUCCAGGACCUUCAGACCCUGAAGACAUGUAGAAUCCUUUGUUGAGGGCUAGACAAAACAAUAUGGAAGAGUCAACCCUAUGUAGUCCAUGGGUCUUGAGUUGGUGUAGGGCAAGGUUUGGCUUGUACCUGAAGCUUUUAUCACACACCUCACAUUUAUAGGCCUUCUCUCCCGUGUGACUUCUCUCAUGGCUAAUAAGGGACGUCUUGUUUUUAUAGCUUUUCCCACACUGCUUGCAUAUAUAGGGGGUCUCUCCUGUGUGAACUAUUUGGUGUCGAUGAAGUUUUGACUUGUAUUUGAAGCUUUUUCCACAUUGGCUGCAUUGGUAGGGUCUCUCUUCCACCUGAGUUACCUGUAUACCCUUCCCGUUCAUCUCUUUGUGCUCAGGCUCCACUGAUGAUACCACACAACAUUGUCCUUCAUUCUCAGUUACCUGCGUAUCACCUGCUGAAAUAAAGGCGAGAAAUACUUUAUGGGUCAGCAAAGGAGAAGCAAGCCGUCCUUUGGCUCUCCCCUAAAUGUGUUGUGGUGUCAUUGAAUUCAUUAAAAUUGUUUGUCUCCCA